rnacentral:siRNA from 1 species
GAGGGCACGUCUGCCUGGGUGUC